AUACGGAGGAUGCGAGCGUUAUCCGGAUUUAUUGGGUUUAAAGGGAGCGUAGGUGGGAUAUUAAGUCAGCUGUGAAAGUUUGGGGCUCAACCUUAAAAUUGCAGUUGAUACUGGUUUCCUUGAGUACGGUACAGGUGGGCGGAAUUCGUUGUGUAGCGGUGAAAUGCAUAGAUAUGACGAAGAACACCGAUUGCGUAGGCAGCUGACCAGACCGCAAAUGACGCUCAUGCACGAAAGUGCGGGGAUCGAACAGGAUUAGAUACCCUGGUAGUCCGCACAGUAAACGAUGAAUACUUGUUUUCGGCGAUAUAAUGUCGGAGGCAAAGCGAAAGCGAUAAGUAUUCCACCUGGGGAGUACGCCGGCAACGGUGAAACUCAAAUGAAUUGGCGGGG
rnacentral:rRNA from 1 species